UGGUCUGGUGCCAUUUCUGUAAAUUCAAAGGCUGUAGAUUCGCAAAUCUCGGAAGUACAUACGGCACACUAUUUUCUUCCUAAAAACAGAAACUGGCUCAUUCAUAGUUCAUCGUCCUCCACUAGCCCAAGCAAAAUCUCCACCAAAUGGCGGAUACCGCCCCCGAAGAACCACCCCCGAUUGAAUCCCCAUCAACCUCUUCAAUUUCUCCGACAAAACCGGCGUCAUCUACCACCGCAACCAGUUACCUCCACCCCCGCCGUGAGCCAUUCGAGCACGGCCUUCUCCCCAUCCCCAAACUCAUUUUCCCCGACGCCACGCAAACCCUUUCCCACCUCAAAUCGACCCUCCUGGCCGCCGAUUCGUCAAACCGGGUCAACUCGGAAACCCUCGCCGGAGCUCUCCAGAUCUCUCUCGACCAUUCUCGGCUUAUCCUCGAAACACUGGCUUCUGUUCUGCAUAAUGAUUCUGAUCCUUUGGUCAAUGCCAAGAGUCCUCAGGAGAUAGAUUCGAUUGGAGUUAAUGUGUUUGAUUUGCUGCUUUAUUUGUAUAUACAGAGUUAUAAGAGGUUGAUUCCUAAAGGGCACAAGGAUUCUGCUGCUGUUGCUGAUGUUUGGCCCUCCACCUCUGCUUUUGACGGGUUUUUGUCUGCCCUUUCACCAUUACAGCUUGUGCGUAGCAAUAGUCGGCGAUUUAUGCCAUCCCUGGCUGAUGAAGAAGCUCAUCAGCUGUCCUAUUUGCAGAAGCACCUGGGAAAUAUUGUAUCCCUUUUGGCAGACUCCGUAGAUGGGGAAGCAGAAGACUCUCUUGUUCUAUCGAUGGAUAAAUUUGAGCAUCUUGGAUUUCUGAUUUACUUUGGAGAAAAGGGAUCUGAGAUGAGUCCCUUAAGCCAAAAUUCUCAGUUUUUUGCCAAUUCAGAUCCCAACAUGCCUGCUGUUCCUGUUCCUGCAUCACAGGUUCUCGAUUGGCUGCUACAAAAUGUAGCCUCCACACUGGAACAUAUUUCUGAGAGAAUUUCUUCAAAAGAUAUUGGGCCGAGCAGUGCCUGUGAUCAGGAUGUUACAAUGGCUGAUGUCUGCACAAGUUCAGCGAAGCCCUUAACCAGAGGUCCAAGCUUUAUUGAGGGGAUCUCUAAGUCAUCAUAUGUAAAGCAAGCAUCGGAUCUGAAAGGCUCUACCGUAAAGGUUGUAAAUUGCCAUGAAUCAGUAAUUUACGUUUUAGCACCUCUGAGAUAUGCAACAGUCUAUGGAUGCUCUGAUGCGACUAUUGUUCUGGGAGCCGUUGGCAAGGCUGUUAGAGUGGAACAUUGUGAACGCGUUCAUCUGAUUACAGCAGCAAAACGUAUAUGCAUUGCCAACUGUCGUGAAUGUCUAUUCUUCUUGGGAGUAAAUCAACAACCUCUAAUGGUUGGUGAUAACCAUAACUUGCAGGUUGCUCCAUAUAACACAUUUUACUCAAAAUUGGAGGAGCACUUGAAUCAAGUUGGCAUUGACCCUAGUAUCAACAGGUGGGAUGAACCUGUGGCACUUGGAAUGGUUGAUCCUCACGACUCAUUAUCUCAUCCUGCUGGUGUCUCAGAUGUUCAAGCUGAAUCUGCUACCUGCCUAGACCCAGAUCAGUACACUAAUUUUUUGAUUCCGAACUGGUUGGGAAGUGAGCAAGACGGUUCCACAAAAGAUAAUCCGUUUCCUUUACCUGAUGUGUACCUGGCUUCUCAACAGAGAAAUGGGGAAGGGGAGGGAGGUUGUAAGGCAGCUCAAAAAUCUGGUGGAAGUUAAGCAAAUUUUGAGGGAAACUCAGCUUGAAGACAGCCGGAAACGAGAACUAUCAAGUGCUCUCCAUGUAUGCUUCAAAGACUGGUUGUACGCAUCAGGAAAUAUCCGGCAGCUUUACUGCUUACAAAGUGAUUAAGCAAGCCUGAAAUUGAACUGAAAGGAUGAAGUUCAAAGUUACUACUAGGUUUUGAUUCGACAAUCGACUAGUUCAAGUUCCUCUUGCCAUUUUUGUUGAUGCUAGAAGUCAGAGGGUAGCCGGAACUUUAGUACUACUGUUGACUUAACUACAUCUAGUCAGUUCAGACUAAUGAACUAUUGUGCAGAUUGCUGUUGGAAAAACACUUGCUUACUUGCAAUUGUGUUUAAGUUGAACAAAUUUGUAAUAUCAUUGUUUCCAGUUAUGCAGUGGAAUUAAAGUAGAGGAUUUUUUUAGCA